rnacentral:SRP_RNA from 1 species
GCCAGGCAUGGUGGUGCGUGCCUGUAGUCCCAGCUACUGGGAGGCUGAGGUGGGAGGAUGGCUUGAGCCUGGGAGGCAGAGAGUGCAGUGAGCUGAGAUUGCGUCAUUGCAUUCCGGCCUGGGCAACAGAGCGAGACUCUGCUUCAC